rnacentral:tRNA from 1 species
GCCCUCUUGGCGCAACUGGAUAGCGCGCAAGAUUACGAAUCUUGAGGUUCCAGGUUCGAGCCCUGGAGAGGGCG